rnacentral:rRNA from 1 species
UACGGAUGGUGCGAGCGUUGUCCGGAAUCACUGGGCGUAAAGGGCGCGUAGGCGGCAGGCCAAGCGUGCGGUGAAAGUCCGGGGCUCAACCCCGGAUCGGCCGUGCGGACUGGUUUGCUAGAGCACUGUAGAGGCGAGUGGAAUUCCGGGUGUAGCGGUGGAAUGCGUAGAGAUCCGGAAGAACACCGGUGGCGAAGGCGGCUCGCUGGGCAGUGGCUGACGCUGAGGCGCGACAGCGUGGGGAGCAAACAGG